AAGUCGUAACAAGGUCUCCGUUGGUGAGCCAGCGGAAGGGAUCAUUACUGAGUACUACACUCUCUACCCUUUGUGAACUAUUAUACCUGUUGCUUCGGCGGCGCCCGCAAGGGUGCCCGCCGGUCUCAUCAGAAUCUCUGUUUUCGAACCCGACGAUACUUCUGAGUGUUCUUAGCGAACUGUCAAAACUUUUAACAACGGAUCUCUUGGCUCCAGCAUCGAUGAAGAACGCAGCGAGAACGCAAUAUGUAAUGUGAAUUGCAGAAUUCAGUGAAUCAUCGAAUCUUUGAACGCACAUGGCGCCUUCCAGUAUCCUGGGAGGCAUGCCUGUCCGAGCGUCGUUUCAACCCUCGAGCCCCUGUGGCCCGGCGUUGGGGAUCUGCCACGGCAGGCCCCUAAAACCAGUGGCGGACCCGAAGGGCCCUCUCCUUUGCGCAGUAGCAUUCGCCUCGCAUCGGGAGUCCUCGGCGUCCUGCCUCUAAACCCCCCACAAGCCCGCUUCGGCGGCACCAAGGUUGACCUCGGAUCAGGUAGGAAUACCCGCUGAACUUAA
rnacentral:rRNA from 1 species